rnacentral:rRNA from 1 species
AUUGAACGCUGGCGGCAGGCCUAACACAUGCAAGUCGAACGAGUGGCGGACGGGUGAGUAAUGUCUGGGAAACUGCCUGAUGGAGGGGGAUAACUACGGGAAACGGUAGCUAAUAACGCAUAACAUCAGAUGUGCCCAGAGGGGAUUAGCUAGUUGGUGGGGUAACGGCUCACCAAGGCGACGAUCCCUAGCUGGUCUGAGAGGACGACCAGCAACACUGGAACUGAGACACGGUCCAGACUCCUACGGGAGGCAGGAGUGGGGAAGAUUGCACAAUGGGCGCAAGCCUGAUGCAGCCAUGCCGCGUGUAUGAAGAGGGCCUUCGGUUUGUAAAGUACUUUCAGCGGGGAGGCGUUACCCGCAGAAGAAGCACCGGCUAACUCCGUGCCAGCAGCCGCGGUAAUAC